rnacentral:tRNA from 1 species
AAAAUCCGUUGACUUUUGCAAAAAUCGUGAGGGUUCAAGUCCCUCUAUCC